UCCCAGACUCCUACGGGAGGCAGCAGUGGGGGAUAUUGCACAAUGGGGGAAACCCUGAUGCAGCGACGCCGCGUGUGGGAAGACGGUCCUCUGGAUUGUAAACCACUGUCCCCAGGGACGAAAAUGACGGUACCUGGGGAGGAAGCUCCGGCUAACUACGUGCCAGCAGCCGCGGUAAUACGUAGGGGGCAAGCGUUGUCCGGAUUUACUGGGUGUAAAGGGAGCGUAGACGGCACUGCAAGUCCGGAGUGAAAGCCCAAGGCUUAACCAUGGGACUGCUCUGGAAACUGUGGAGCUUGAGUGCGGGAGGGGCAGGCGGAAUUCCUAGUGUAGCGGUGAAAUGCGUAGAUAUCAGGAGGAACACCGGCGGCGAAGGCGGCCUGCUGGACCGUGACUGACGUUGAGGCUCGAGAGCGUGGGGAGCAAACAGGAUUAGAUACCCCGGUA
rnacentral:rRNA from 1 species